rnacentral:rRNA from 1 species
AGAGUUUGAUCAUGGCUCAGAUUGAACGCUGGCGGCAGGCUUAACACAUGCAAGUCGAGCGGGGAAAGGUAGCUUGCUACCUUACCUAGCGGCGGACGGGUGAGUAAUGCUUAGGAAUCUGCCUAUUAGUGGGGGACAACAUUUCGAAAGGAAUGCUAAUACCGCAUACGCCCUACGGGGGAAAGCAGGGGACCUUCGGGCCUUGCGCUAAUAGAUGAGCCUAAGUCGGAUUAGCUAGUUGGUGGGGUAAAGGCCUACCAAGGCGACGAUCUGUAGCGGGUCUGAGAGGAUGAUCCGCCACACUGGGACUGAGACACGGCCCAGACUCCUACGGGAGGCAGCAGUGGGGAAUAUUGGACAAUGGGGGGAACCCUGAUCCAGCCAUGCCGCGUGUGUGAAGAAGGCCUUUUGGUUGUAAAGCACUUUAAGCGAGGAGGAGGCUACCGAGAUUAAUACUCUUGGAUAGUGGACGUUACUCGCAGAAUAAGCACCGGCUAACUCUGUGCCAGCAGCCGCGGUAAUACAGAGGGUGCAAGCGUUAAUCGGAUUUACUGGGCGUAAAGCGCGCGUAGGUGGCCAAUUAAGUCAAAUGUGAAAUCCCCGAGCUUAACUUGGGAAUUGCAUUCGAUACUGGUUGGCUAGAGUAUGGGAGAGGAUGGUAGAAUUCCAGGUGUAGCGGUGAAAUGCGUAGAGAUCUGGAGGAAUACCGAUGGCGAAGGCAGCCAUCUGGCCUAAUACUGACACUGAGGUGCGAAAGCAUGGGGAGCAAACAGGAUUAGAUACCCUGGUAGUCCAUGCCGUAAACGAUGUCUACUAGCCGUUGGGGCCUUUGAGGCUUUAGUGGCGCAACUAACGCGAUAAGUAGACCGCCUGGGG